rnacentral:rRNA from 1 species
ACGCUAGCUACAGGCUUAACACAUGCAAGUCGAGGGGAAACGGCAUUGAGUGCUUGCACUCUUUGGACGUCGACCGGCGCACGGGUGAGUAACGCGUAUCCAACCUUCCCAUUACUGUGGGAUAACCUGCCGAAAGGCAGACUAAUACCGCAUGGUCUUCGAUGACGGCAUCAGAUUUGAAGUAAAGAUUUAUCGGUAAUGGAUGGGGAUGCGUCUGAUUAGCUUGUUGGCGGGGUAACGGCCCACCAAGGCGACGAUCAGUAGGGGUUCUGAGAGGAAGGUCCCCCACAUUGGAACUGAGACACGGUCCAAACUCCUACGGGAGGCAGCAGUGAGGAAUAUUGGUCAACGGACGGAAGUCUGAACCAGCCAAGUAGCGUGCAGGAUGACGGCCCUAUGGGUUGUAAACUGCUUUUGUAUGGGGAUAAAGUUAGGGACGUGUCCCUAUUUGCAGGUACCAUACGAAUAAGGACCGGCUAAUUCCGUGCCAGCAGCCGCGGUAAUACGGAAGGUCCAGGCGUUAUCCGGAUUUAUUGGGUUUAAAGGGGGCGUAGGCUGGAGAUUAAGUGUGUUGUGAAAUGUAGACGCUCAACGUCUGAAUUGCAGCGCAUACUGGUUUCCUUGAGUACGCACAACGUUGGCGGAAUUCGUCGUGUAGCGGUGAAAUGCUUAGAUAUGACGAAGAACUCCGAUUGCGAAGGCAGCUGACGGGAGCGCAACUGACGCUUAAGCUCGAAGGUGCGGGUAUCAAACAGGAUUAGAUACCCUGGUAGUCCGCACAGUAAACGAUGGAUGCCCGCUGUUGGUACCUGGUAUCAGCGGCUAAGCGAAAGCAUUAAGCAUCCCACCUGGGGAGUACGCCGGCAACGGUGAAACUCAAAGGAAUUGACGGGGGCCCGCACAAGCGGAGGAACAUGUG